GAAGUCAACAUGUUUCAUCUGCCUGUUUGGAAGCUGAGGAAAUGCUAGAAAAAUCCAUACAAAAAUUAAAAAUCAAAAUCUUUAUAGCUGUACUUAAUCAAUUAGGUCAUAUAUAUCUAUUUUACCUUGGAUUUUUUUUUUUCAAACUUAAUAACACAGAGCAGAAAGAAAAUGCCCUCAGUUUCUCAGUAACCAAGCAAAAACCCACAUAAAAAAAUUUUCCCAUACUAAC
rnacentral:misc_RNA from 1 species